UAGGGAAUCUUCGGCAAUGGACGAAAGCCUGAUCCAGCAACGCCGCGUGAGCGAAGAAGGGUUUCGGAUCGUAAAACUCUGUUGUUAGAGAAGAACAAGGACGAGAGCAGAAUGUUCAUCGUUUGAUGGUAACUAACCAGAAAGCCACGGCUAACUACGUGCCAGCAGCCGCGGUAAUACGUAGGUGGCAAGCGUUGUCCGGAUUUAUUGGGCGUAAAGCGAGCGCAGGCGGUUUGUUAAGUCUGGUGUGAAAGCCCCCGGCUCAACCGGGGAGGGUCAUUGGAAACUGGGAGACUUGAGUGCAGAAGGGGAGGGUGGAAUUCCAUGUGUAGUGGUGAAAUGCGUAGAUAUAUGGAGGAACACCAGUGGCGAAGGCGGCUCUCUGGUCUGUAACUGACGCUGAGGCUCGAAAGCGUGGGGAGCAAACAGG
rnacentral:rRNA from 1 species